GACCCCGCACAAGUAGUGGAGCAUGUGGUUUAAUUCGAAGAUACGCGUAGAACCUUACCAACACUUGACAUGUUCGUCGCGACUUUAAGAAGAUUAAAGUUUUCGGUUCGGCCGGACGAAACACAGGUGCUGCAUGGCUGUCGUCAGCUCGUGUCGUGAGAUGUUGGGUUAAGUCCCGCAACGAGCGCAACCCUCACUUUUAGUUGCCAUCAUUUAGUUGGGCACUCUGAAAGAACUGCCAGUGAUAAGCUGGAGGAAGGUGGGGAUGACGUCAAGUCCUCAUGGCCCUUACGUGUUGGGCUACACACGUGCUACAAUGGUAUCUACAACAGGAAGCAAGACGGCGACGUUAAGCAAAUCCUUAAAAGAUACCUCAGUUCGGAUUGCACUCUGCAACUCGAGUGCAUGAAGCUGGAAUUACUAGUAA
rnacentral:rRNA from 1 species